GAACGAGUGUGCAUGCAUGCAUGCGUGUGCGCCUCCACAGGGCUCUCUCUCUCUCACACACAGAGACAGAGCCUGCAUCCCUCUCCCAGACCCAGGCUGUCAUCACGGACUAUGGGAGGCGCCUCUACCUCGGCGUCGCUGUAGAGACACAGCGUGAGGCAUCAGCAGUAGCAGCCUCAGCACGAGUGGCUGCUGUCGCCGCAGCAACGCAAGCUUCCUCGACGACGGGAGUUCCUGGGGGGGAAAGUGCUCUCUUCUCGCGCGCUUAGGCACACGCCACCGGUGCUCCACCUGCCUCGUUCUCCUCCCACCGCCUCAUGCUCUUCCUCUAGCCCUUGUCCUCCUCCAGGUUCCUUCUCUCCUCUGACUAACGGACAGCGCUGGAGGAAUCAUCCUCAGCAGCCCAAAAGGACUCAGGUGAAACAGACAUGAUUUCAGCACUGACAGGAGAGGCGUUUAGGCCUUCAAUGUCACCCCCAAUCAUCCCCCCACUGACCUAAAGCAGAGGGCAAAGGGCAGAGGUGUGGGCUGAAGUGCUCCAGUGCCUCUACCCUGUGGCAGCAGUAGCACAGAGCCUGGAGCCGUGACGGCAGCCAGACCUCCUCUCCCGUCUGACUCCCUGCGGGAACAGCCACGGAAUUUACCUACGCCGGCCACUUCUGCUAAAGCCCCUUCCUCCAGAAUCUCACAGCAGGGAACGGUGUCCCGGCAGACUGGAUUUUGUGCACUUUCAAAAGGAAUUGAAUUGAGAGCUGUCUCUGGGGUGACAGUUUACAAUGUUUUCCAAAGAAUUCGGAGAGCCGCAGUAGUUUCUUUAUCAUGAGGAGAGGCGCGGCAGGGGGGUUUGGAUCGAGCACACGCCAUUCGCCCUGAGGACAGGAGAGUUGCUGUGCUAUUCAUCAUGCAAAAAAAAAAGAGCUCUCACCAUACUCUUCCUCGGAGAACUCCCAUCGUUUCUCAAACCCACAUUAAGAACAAAAGGAGAUCCGUGCAGGACUUUGGGAAUAUCUGAUCUUCUGGAAUCUUUUGCCUUUGCCGCCUCCUUUCAAAAAGACAACAGUUUAAUAAAGCAGGUUUUUGUGAACAAGGCCUGUUUUCUCCAUUGAGAGUAAAAUAAUUCCUGAAGCGACACUCUGUUAAGAAUAGAUUCUUCUAGUCUGAAUUCUGUGUGGGUGUACAAAGUGGACCAUCACACAGGAUGGCAAUCGAAGAGGCAAUUUCUUCUCAAUAGUCCUCCGUACAACUGAAUAUGUUCUUCGGGAGUAUCUGCACUACACUGACUGUAGAUUGUAGACCCACAGAUUGUAGACCCACCACAUCCCUAAAGAUGUCUGCGGUCCCAGAGGUGUGAUGUGAUGAAACGCAUGUCUACUGCCCAGUUACCCCUGCCCAACCUUUCUCCGUAGCGUCUCCAUUCCUGCACUGUGCCUUUCCCCAGCUCUUCUUGGAUUUUGGUCCCAAGACGUUGUCCGAUGCCCCACGCACCCCCCUCUGCUCCGCCGUCCCCCUCCAGAGCUCGUGGACCUGGCCCAGCAGUGUGUGGGAGGAGGCUUCCCCGGGUCUCCUGGCCCCCCGAGCACGUCUAAGAUGCUGGAGCCCGCUGGAGCGGCCCGAGCCCCACAUCGGAUCGGCAGCAGCACCGCGCCC